UGUUCGUGUGAGGUGGUCGUGUAAUGGCGAAUUAGUGAAUAAGUGUGUAUUUAUUAAACGCGGAUCGCAAUAAAUUCAAGAAGGUGAAAAUGCCGAGAAUAGAACAAAUAGCGAUCGAGAAGGAGUAUGAGAAGAACCAGGACAUAUGCCGGGAAGACAUCGCCAAGCUGAGAGACUGGCUGAAGACGCAGCCGCACCUCCCGGGGGAUAGGCUUACAGACCUAGAUUUGCUGAUCACGUUCCACUGCUGCGAGAGGAGCCAGGCUGUCUCCAGGCAAGUCCUGGACUUACACUUCACGCUGAAGACUCUCUUCACGGGCUUCUUCAAGGACAGGAGUUUUGACAGUCGGAUACAGUACUGCUUGGAUAAAAUAUUGUUCGCUCCCCUAGCGUGGCCGACCAAAGAAGGCUACAGAGUGGUCUACCUUCGCGUGCUGGAUCCAGACCCUCGCUGCUUCCUGUUCAAUGACUGCGUCAGGACUUUCAUGAUGAUGUUCGACCUCUGGCAGUACGAGGAGGGGACCUGGCCUGGGUUUGUCAUCAUGAUCGACAUGGACCAGACUGUGAUCGGGCACAUCACCAAGCUAGAGAUUAUGUCCAUUCGACAAGUGCUUUAUUUCUUACAGAACUGCAUGUUGGUAAAACUGAAAAGCGUCCACUUCUUAAACGCGCCGUCGUUCAUGGACAAGCUGAUGAUGAUGCUGAGGCCGUUCCUCAACAAAACCCUGAUGGAUUUGAUCCACAUCCACCAGAUCGGCUCCGACACGCUGGAGAAGUUCGUGCCAAAGAAAAUACUGCCUAAAGAAGACGGCGGGGAGUAUAAAACUCGUUCGGAAAUCAGAGAGCGGCAUGCACGUGGAUAACAAGCCAGCGGGCCUGCAGGAGGCUCCAGCCCCGGCCGGCUGCUUCGGAGGAGGUGGUCAACCACCGCCACCACCCCCACCACCUUCAAACAGCUCCGGUUAAUUCCCUGGAAGAAUUUACAUUUGACACCAACGGCCCGCUACUGUUUCAUAAAAUAAACGAUCA
rnacentral:misc_RNA from 1 species